rnacentral:rRNA from 1 species
GCUUAGAGUUUGAUCCUGGCUCAGGAUGAACGCUGGCGGCGUGCUUAACACAUGCAAGUCGAACGGUCUCUUCGGAGAUAGUGGUGGACGGGUGAGUAACGCGUGAGAAUCUGCCUUUAGGUUCGGGACAACAGUUGGAAACGACUGCUAAUACCGAAUGUGUCGCAAGAUGAAAGAUUUAUUGCCUAAAGAUGAGCUCGCGUCUGAUUAGCUAGUUGGUGGGGUAAAAGCGUACCAAGGCGACGAUCAGUAGCUGGUCUGAGAGGAUGAUCAGCCACACUGGGACUGAGACACGGCCCAGACUCCUACGGGAGGCAGCAGUGGGGAAUUUUCCGCAAUGGGCGAAAGCCUGACGGAGCAACGCCGCGUGAGGGAGGAAGGCUUUUGGGUUGUAAACCUCUUUUCUCAAGGAAGAUAAUGACGGUACUUGAGGAAUCAGCAUCGGCUAACUCCGUGCCAGCAGCCGCGGUAAAUACGGAGGAUGCAAGCGUUAUCCGGAAUAUUUGGGCGUAAAGCGUUCGUAGGUGGUUUUGCAAGUCUGCUGUUAAA